rnacentral:misc_RNA from 1 species
GUGAGUCAUCGAAUCUUUGAACGCAUAUUGCGCUCUUUGGUAUUCCGAAGAGCAUGCUUGUUUGAGUAUCAGUAAACACCUCAACACUCACUCUCGAUUUGUUUCGAAAUGAGUAUUGGACUUGAGCAAACCCAACGCCUUUCUGCUAGCCAGACUUGCGGCGGGUUGCUUGAAAUGCAGGUGCAGCUGAGUUUUCUUCUGAGCUAAUAGCAUACUUAAUUAGUCCCGUAAAAAGGAUUAUUAAUCUGCUGAAGCUUACACCAAAGGAAGAGCUCUUGACUGACUGAUGCAGAAUUACAC